UCUGGUACUGUGGGCUGCUCAGGGCCCUGGUGUUCCUCCCAGGCAGGACCUUGGCUUCUGAUCUGAGUGAGGGGCGUGCUUCCUCUGCUGCUCAGAAUUGAAAACCGGCUGACCCCAAAGAUCACUCCAGCUCUCUGAAGCUAACAUCAGACCACCGCUCCCUAUAAAUAGUAAUAUAGACACUACCUAUAGAAUAAACGCGAUAGGGGUUCCUUUGCCGAAGACACGAUGGGGUAAAGAGGAUGCGGUUACCACUUUAAGACCAUGAUUUAGUAAAGGACCUGUCUGUCCAUGAGAAACCCAUUGCUGGGUCCGGCAAUCUCCUGGAUUUCCAGGUUACCAGCCAAGUUCCUGCAACUUAGGUAAAAACCCUACAGUUGGGGGGAGGGGGCGUUCCUUGGUUCAUCAGGUAAGUUUAUAUACAUCCUGCUGCCACACUUUCAAACCAAGAACAAAGUACACCUCCUCCCCAGAGACCCCCAACCAGUAUCCCUAAGCAGCCUGGAGUGGCCUCUGAAGGUUCUAACCCUGUGUUGUCACCCUCCUCCCCAACCUGGCUCCUCACUAAAGGACUCCCAGGACCCCAAAAGACGUCAUUCUACUGAGGGUUCAGACUGCUUCUUAGAAGCAGAAGUGAGGGGUUUGGAGGGACACAGUACCAAUGUCCAAGGAGGCUACCCUCAGCCACUAAAAAAAGAAGAAAAAAAUCACUCCAGGAUUGUCAAGUGUUCUCUCUGUGUAGCUUGGAAUGCUCAUCCCUUCAUGAUGGUGUGCCAGGAUGCAUAAAUGGUGCCACGUGAUGAGAAAGAAGUGGCUUUGAAAGAAGCAGCCAUCAGAAGAGACCAAGAACCCAUGUGAACAGCUGUGUGCAGUGAUGUGCAUCUGUAAUCCCAGCACCCCCAUUGGCCAGUACACAGUGCUCCAGCAGUAAUGAGAGAGACCCUGCUUCAGCAAAGCAAGGGAACCUGUGCCAACCACCUCCACUCUGCACACCAGACUUCCCUUCAUCAUCAAGUCAGCCACAGAGGAUCCCAACAGUGAAAUCCAGAAGGCUUUAAGGUUCAGGAGGCUGACUGAGUCACACAGAGGACCUAUAUCAUCCCAAUGUCACCAAUUUCUUGAUGCACCCAUGGAUUCUUUGGGAUAGUGGCUGUGUAUGUCAACCUAGCCAGCCUCUGGUGCCCGCAAACUGGUCAGAUGCCACGCAGAUGUUGCUGCAAAGGUAUUUUUCAAGAUGAGGUUGCAUCUCCACACAGGCGUUGUAAAGCAGACCACUGUACAAAUUAUGCUAUAAGCUCCACGCCAGAUGGCUCCACAGAAGUCUCGCGGCAGUGGAGGACAGCUCAGAGAAGCUGCUGCCGGGACUCCCUGCGUGCACGACAGGGCCACUUCACAAGACUUGUUAUUGAGGGCAUCAGGUGAGGAACUGUGAAACCCAAGUGCUCAGAUCCCCUUCAGGAAAGAGCAGCUUCCUUUGAGCUGAAGAAUGCCUGGCUCUCACUCACUAAUGAGUGGGCUUAGCCAUGCCCAUCAUCCCCCUGCCCUUCUCAUUACCUGAACAAGCAAGAGGUAAUUACAGAAGUCAAGCCUCCGUGCCUUCUAGAGAAUGCUGACAUUACCGUGACAGGCGAACACCCAUGCACUGUGUCCAGAUAAGCAUGGCAUACUCACUGGCCAGUUUUUCUCACCCUUAAUGUCUCUUCCAGAUUCACAAAUGGUUGGUUUUAGAAUUACAGAUAUG
ensembl:processed_transcript